rnacentral:rRNA from 1 species
GACGAACGCUGGCGGCGUGCUUAACACAUGCAAGUCGAACGGUGAAGGGAUCAGCUUGCUGGUUCUGGAUGAGUGGCGAACGGGUGAGUAAUACGUGAGUAACCUGCCCCCUUCUUCUGGAUAACCGCAUGAAAGUGUGGCUAAUACGGGAUAUUCUGCGCCUGCUGCAUGGUGGGUGUGGGAAAGAUAUUGUUUCGGUGGGGGAUGGGCUCGCGGCCUAUCAGCUUGUUGGUGGGGUGAUGGCCUACCAAGGCGGUGACGGGUAGCCGGCCUGAGGGGGUGGACGGUCACACUGGGACUGAGACACGGCCCAGACUCCUACGGGAGGCAGCAGUGGGGAAUAUUGCACAAUGGGCGCAAGCCUGAUGCAGCGACGCCGCGUGAGGGAUGGAGGCCUUCGGGUUGUGAACCUCUUUCGCCAGUGAAGCAGGCCUGUCCCUUGUGGGUGGGUUGACGGUAGCUGGAUAAGAAGCGCCGGCUAACUACGUG